rnacentral:rRNA from 1 species
GACGAACGCUGGCGGCGUGCUUAACACAUGCAAGUCGAACGGUGAAGCGCCUUCCUUUUUGGUGGGUGUGGAUGAGUGGCCAACGGGUGAGUAACACGUUAGUAACCUGCCCCCUUCUUCUGGAUAACCGCAUGACAGUGUGGCUAAUACGGGAUAUUCUGGGUCUGUCGCAUCAUGGGUCUGGGACAGAUUUUGUUUCGGUUGUGGAUGGGGUCGCGGUCUAUCAGCUUGUUGGUGGGGUGAUGGCCUACCAAGGCGGUGAAGCGUAGCCGGCCUGAGAGGGUGGACGGUCACACAGGGACGGAGAGGCGGAGAAGACUCCGGCAGGAAGCAGCAGUGGAGAAUAUGGAACGAGGGGAGGAAGGAUGGAGCAGCGACGCGGGGUGAGGGAUGGAGGCCGGAGGGUUGUGAACCUCUUUCGGGAGAGAAGCAAGGCUGCCUCGUUUGUGGGUGGGUUGACGGUAGCUGAAUAAGAAGCGCCGGCUAACUACGUG